rnacentral:lncRNA from 1 species
UUUUAUUUAAUAUUUUUGCAUCAAAAAAUGAAAAGAUAUCUUGGAUUAGCUUCGGAAUAAUCCAUAAUCCAUUGCUGGAGAGGGACUGAAUGGUGGUAUAGAUAAAACAAAAUUAGAUGUGAGUUCGUCAUUCUUGAAGUCACAUGAUGAAUAUGUGGAAUUUGAGUAUACUGUUCUUUUGCUUGAAAUUUUUCAUAGUAGAAAGUUAAAAAAUUUUUUUGCCUAUACAUUUAUAAGAGAAAUUGGUCUCUUAAGUUUUUUUCAAGUGAUUAUACUUGAAAAUCACCAGGUUAAAAAAAUAGAAUAAUGUAGCAUCCCAGAAGCCCUCAUCUUCUCUCUCCUCUCCAAAGGUUCUGGCCUAUAGGAACAAGACAUUUUCAGUAAUGGAAGAAGGAGCUUCCAGGCUGGGGAAGAUCAUCAUUUCCAGUGGUAGCUUGACCUGAGAUGAUACCUGACCACCACUUCUGGGAAGGCCCAGAAUAGACAGAAGAGAGAGAACAUACUAGAGUUGCUAGCCCCUAAGAGUUGAA